UACGUAGGGUGCGAGCGUUACUCGGAAUUACUGGGCGUAAAGCGUGCGUAGGCGGUUCUUCAAGUCCGUUGUGAAAGCCCCGGGCUCAACCUGGGAAUGGCAGUGGAAACUAGGGGACUGGAAUCUGGCAGAGGGGGGUGGAAUGCCGCGUGUAGCAGUGAAAUGCGUAGAGAUGCGGCGGAACACCGAUGGCGAAGGCAGCCCCCUGGGCUGAGAUUGACGCUCAGGCACGAAAGCGUGGGGAGCAAACAGG
rnacentral:rRNA from 1 species